rnacentral:tRNA from 1 species
GCCUGGAUGGCUCAGUCAGUUAAGCACCCGACUUCAGCUCAGGUCAUGAUCUCACAGUCCGUGAGUUCGAGCCCCACGUCAGGCU